rnacentral:rRNA from 1 species
UUGAAAGGGAAACGAUUGAAGUCAGUCGUACCGACGAGAAAUCAGCUUUUUGAAUGUGCAUUUGUGGGCGUAUGAGAUCUUCAUUGUUUGCAAUAUGUAUGUUUCUUUGGUGUACUUUUUCGUAUGGUAGGUCAACGUCGGUUUUGGUCGCCAUAAAAUGAUCGGAGGAAUGUAGCUUCGACCUCGGUUGAAGUGUUAUAGCCUUUGGUAAAUGUGGUGAUUAGGACCGAGGAUUGCAACGAAUACCUUUUAGGCUAUCCGUCUGACCUCUGAAAGUUACUUAGGUGCCGAAAGCUUGCUUACGGUCAUUUAAGUUGACGGUCAAUAGGUUAGAACGUGAUUACAUUCGUUAAGGAUGUUGACGUA